UACAGAGGGUGCGAGCGUUAAUCGGAAUUACUGGGCGUAAAGCGAGCGUAGUCGGUUGUUUAAGUUGGGGGUGAAAGCCCGGGGCUCAACCUCGGAAUUGCCUUCAAUACUGGCUGUCUUGAGUGUGAGAGAGGUGUGUGGAACUCCGAGUGUAGAGGUGAAAUUCGUAGAUAUUCGGAAGAACACCAGUGGCGAAGGCGACACACUGGCUCACUACUGACGCUGAGGCGCGAAAGCGUGGGGAGCAAACAGG
rnacentral:rRNA from 1 species